rnacentral:misc_RNA from 1 species
UCUCCGUAUGUCAACCUGCGGAGUGAGCAUUACUGAGUGAGGGCCUCCCCGGCCCGACCUCCAACCCUUUGUGAACACAACUUGUUGCUUCGGGGGCGACCCUGCCGUUUCGACGGCGAGCGCCCCCGGAGGCCUUCAAACACUGCAUCUUUGCGUCGGAGUUUAAGUAAAUUUAAACAAAACUUUCAACAACGGAUCUCUUGGUUCUGGCAUCGAUGAAGAACGCAGC